AUGAGUCAGGACAUUGAAAAGUUGGUCUCAAGCCAAAUGUCUUAUCCUAGCAUUUUAGGCUUCUCCAUCUCACUUAUUAUCCCAUUUCUUCACUUGGCAUCCACAAAUACAACCCCUCACCCUCUGGGAGAGCCUGUGUGUAGAAGAGUUAAAGGUGUGACAGAUUCAAAAUUCUACAUUCUAAGGGUGAUUGCGACUAACUAUAACUUAAUGCAAACUUUACUGGUUAUAAAGACAGGAUGGAAGUUAAUUCCAGUUCCUGGAAGGAAUAAUAUAGAUGGAGCUUGGGCCAUCCAUUUGUAG
rnacentral:lncRNA from 1 species